CAGAUAGCUUAAUGGUAAAGCACCCAACCGGCAAUUGGGAGAUCUGGGUUCAAGUCCCAGUUUG
rnacentral:tRNA from 1 species